GUGGUUCCCAGUGGUGCACCGAAGAGCAAGCAUAAAUCGUCUUUCUCCCUGAUGUCUUUUUACCCAGCUUGCACCCAUCUCAGGUAGAAGAAGAGAGCUGAUCCUGAUGGCCUGGUUUCAGCAUUUGGAAGGGAUUACUUUUUCCAGGGUGGAACUGUCUAAGGCAUUUACACAUCCAGCAAUUACAGGCGCCUGAUGCCCUGCUGCACUCUGGGGACAGAAAAAGGAAUUAGAAGCUGUCCAGGGCUUUGAUGAGCUCACACUCUAACUUCGAGGAUUGUGAAAAGAGCAACUUAUUAUUCAUUGUGAUGAAGGCUAUGAUGGAGGCACAGACAAAUGGCUGUGAAAACAUAAGGAAAAGACCUGCCCAGGGGUGAAAAUUUCAUGAAGAAGGUGCCACUGGAACAGGACCUGGAGGGAGUUUUUACCAGAAUCGAGACUCUAAGCAAAAUGGUUCCAUAGCUGUUGAAGUAAAAAUGAAAACAAAACAAAACAAAACAAAAAAACCAGUAUAUUAGUAGCAAAUAUUCUGGGCUCCAGUUCCAUCUUUGCUAUUUUCUAGUCAUGUGGUCUUGGGCACAACAUUUAUCUGUGUUCUGAUUUCCUUAUCUUUUAAAUGGGAAUGAUAUGACAACAUACCUGUCAACAAUUCUGUGAGGAUCACAUGAAAUUAUACAUGUGCAAAUCUAAAACAUUAUAUGAAAAUAGCUUAAUUUCAAUAUAUGCUAUAAUAUGGUAUGAAAGUUUGUAUUCCCUAUUGGGAAGCCAAUCGAUAGUAUUUGUGGUUAAAAGUUAUUUUUAUAAUAUACAUUAACAUAUAUAAUAUAAAAUUAUUAAAAAUUAUGAUUAAAAAAUCAAUAACUGAGAAGAGAAAAGCAUAUUAUUUGGAAUUUUGGAAGCAAGACACUAGGGGAAUACCUGAAAGUGUUUGCUUUUGGGGAGUGAGCUUUGGAGGGCAAGUGUGUAGUAGGCAGGUACUUAUGUAUCACUUGACUUUUAAAACAUUUGGCUUUAAAAAAGGUAAAAGUAAAUAAAAAAGAGUGGAGAUCCAUCGAGAAGGGAGUUUAUUUGUGACCUGGAAUCCCUUGUUCCAUCAUACCCCCAAAGAAGAGCACAGAUCCUGCCCCUUGAAGCCUGACCUUGUACCCAGAUGCUCACUCUGACUUCAGGAUGGGAGAUUACUGAAGUUCUAGAGCAGUAGGUCCUAAUGAGGGAUGUACUGUGCCCUCAGGGAAAGUUUUCAUCUUCUGGGGAGUCAUUAUUAAUUGUCACAGUGACAAGGGAUGGUGAGGUAGGUGAGGGGCUCUGGAGUGGGUCACUGGCAUCUCCUGGACAGGAACUAGGGAUGCUAGACAUCUCGCAAGGUGUGA
rnacentral:lncRNA from 10 species